rnacentral:rRNA from 1 species
UACGGAGGGUCCAAGCGUUAUCCGGAAUCAUUGGGGUUAAAGGGUCCGUAGGCGGUUUUGUAAGUCAGUGGUGAAAGCCCAUCGCUCAACGGUGGAACGGCCAUUGAUACUGCAAGACUUGAAUUAUUGUGAAGUAACUAGAAUAUGUAGUGUAGCGGUGAAAUGCUUAGAGAUUACAUGGAAUACCAAUUGCGAAGGCAGGUUACUAACAAUAUAUUGACGCUGAUGGAUGAAAGCGUGGGUAGCGAACAGG